rnacentral:lncRNA from 1 species
UGUAUUGGAUAGAGAGUUCUUGAGUAGAUUUGGUAUGGUGGCUUUAUGAGCUAGUGAUUGUGGAUUGGAAUAGAAGAAUAUCAUAGGCGUGUAAGGACCGGGCAACCCUAGAUCAUGUAAAGGAAGAAUGUAAGGCUUGAGGUUCAAGGGCGUGGGAGAGGCCGGUUUAAUGUUGGUUUUUGAUUUUGAGACUAUAUGCAAAUGCCUUCUAAUUAGUCCCCUUAUUAUCAUGCUGCCAGUUGUGGAGAAUAUAAGCUCUAUUGCAAGGAAUGAGGGUAGAAAUGCAUCUCCAUUGUUCCUGUAUUAUAUACCCGUUUAGCUGUCUAUGCUUGAAUAAAAUAAUGCAAUUUAUAUUAUUAGCCUGUAGCAUGCAUCUAUGGAAAAUAGUUGAAAGGACAACUGAAUUGAUUGCUAUACUAUUUGAACCAAAUUAGUGCUCCCUCCAUCUCUUCAUACUUUUCAACUGAAUGUAAUUAAAUACAACUUUCAUGUGACAAAUAUAUAUACUUUCAUAUAUAUGAAAAAUAUAUACUAUCAAUAGAAUCUUGUGAUUCAGGAGGAAUGUCAAUCUCUAGUUUGCAGACGAAGAAACAUGGUUCCCCUUCUAGUAGAUUAAAUAUAUUUUCUAAUAAUACAAUUUCCAAAAUUUUAUUAAUCAUAUCGUUCAAAUUUUGAUUAAUUUGACUACAGACAUAACUGCUGUUUUGGGGCGACGGGAGUACUAUCUUUGAGUUGGAAGGUAGUGAUCCAGUACUUCUCAGGAACUAAAACUUCAGCAGCAGCAGUUAAAUCAUCACUACUUGAUUGCGGCAACUACAUCUCGUGCACGAAACAGAGACUAAGAUGCACAAGUUUUUCCUGGUCAUCAGGGUUGCGGGACAAUCUUACCCAGUAACUCAAAAAUGACAAUACAGUGAGUGCAUCAGCUAUACGGUGGGAUAGGCUCACAGCAAUGGCCCCAAUCCUCCGCAAGAGAAAUGAUUCAGCUAAACAGCCAUUAUAUUAGGAGAAGACGACACAUCAUGCCAUAUCAUACAGUCCCUCAUUCCCAUUUUAAUAGUUAUGUUUGUGAAAAUAAAAUGUCCCAUAAUAUUUGUCAUUUUUUUUUCAAUAAAACUUUUAUACUGUUUUCAAAGUUGACUAUCAUCAACUCACGCAAUUUUCAAAAAUUAUUAAGCAAAUAACUAUGAAAUUCUAAUAAAAUGACUGAAAACUUGGUUAUAUUCAUGUGUAAUUUAUGUAAUUUUAACGAUCACAACAAUAACAAGACAUCACAUUUAAUAUUUCUUGAUAUGUGUGAAAUUUGCAAAAAAGACUAUUAAUAUGGGAGGGAUGGAGGGAGUGUAUACCAUGCUAAAAGAGAUUACUGCAACCAUCUUUUUUCAUCCUUGACAGGAGUUCUUUCCAGAAUUUCAGAUUGUAAGAAUCAGCUACCACAGGCGAUCAUUUAGGAUGAUUAUAUUGUUUGAGCUUAAGGGUGUGGUAGAAGCCGGUUUUAUAUUAGUUUUUGAUGUUUAGAUUCCAUGUAGCUGCCUUCUGCUUAGUCCCCUGAUCGUCAUAUAGCUAUUUGUAUUUGAAUUUAUUAGAUUAUAGAUUUAGAGAAAGGGAUCAAGUGAUUUCACUGCAAUUUAUAACGGAACAUUCAAGGGUGACUAUCACUGACUAAAUGCCACAUAUUGUUAAUUCUGCUAUUAUUAAGCUUGGGGACGGGGUGGAUAAGAAAAUAUGAAAUAUUUGCGGCCUCACUUUAACCAAAAGUCUGGUUUCCACAAACAAUAAUUGAUUGAUACUUCAUAUUUAUUUUAGCUUAUGAUAUUCAAAUAAUACUCUUAGCCGAUUAUUUUGGAAUAAUACCUUUAGUUGAUAAUAUUGGAAUGAUAUUGGAAUAACACCCUUAGCUGAUAAUAUUGGAAUAAUAUCCUUACAGACAUUAGAAUGAUAUUGGAACAAUACCUUUAGAUGACGAUAUUGAUAUUAUUUUGGUUCUAAUAAUUUUAUUACUGAUAUGAUUGCUAAAAGUUGUAUAUACUAUUAUAAAGUUGCAAAAGCAUUUUUAUACACAAAAUACAAUUGUUAGUUUAGUUGCAUUUAGCUUUGCAAGAAUAUAUGUUACAAGGUGCAUUAGUUACACAGUCCCCCCUUCCCAAUUUAUUUGUCUUGUUUGACUUUUUGUUGUCAAAUUGAUCAAAUUUUGACUAAUAAUUAGUAAUUAUUAUUACAUAAUCUUGAAAAUAAAAAAAAUACAUUUUAAAAUAGAAUAGAAAUAGAUUCAAGUAAUAUGUUUUUUGUAAUUUUUAAAAUUGUUUAAUAUAUGUAAAUUACAGUCAAAGUUUGGUCGAUUUGACCAUAAAAAGUCAAACAAAGCAAAUAAAUUGGGACAAAGGGAGUAUAUGAUUGCAAAGUUGCAAACUCUAUUUUUGUAAAAAAAAUUCAGAAAAUAAUAUAACACCAAAUACAAUAAUUGUGGGCUAAAUUGGACCAUAAAAUUUGCACAACUUGUAACACAUCAUUUGGAUAGUAAUGACUAUAUUCAUUAAAUAUAAUAUGUUUAAAUAUAAUAUCCGACAAAUAAUGAGAUUAUCUAUAUAUUCUAUUUGGGUCUUAUAUGUCAAAAUAUCUCACUUGACCCACCAUCUUAUCGGGUACUCAUUUAAACCACUAUGAACCAAAUAUAUAUCAUUUUACCCACAUCACUGUUCAUACCUCUUUACUUAUUCAAUUAUCAAAAAUCAACUUUUGUUCUUUUACUACAAAACCACUUCAAAUAUAUACCUUUAUAAUUGUCUCUAGUAUUUAUCAAAAUAAUAUGGAAAUUCUUAAAGCAACAUAUCUGGGGUGAUCACAUAAAUAUAUAUUUAUAGCUUUAUUUUUUUAACUACAUAGCUACGGUUUAUAGUGGCUUAAAUGAUUCCCCGAUAAGAUGGAUGGGCAAAUGAAAUAUUUUGACGUAACGGGUGGCGAUAUAAAACCCUUUUCUAUUUUGAUGACAUGCUAACUCAUUUUUUAAGUAAUGGUUUUUCAUGAUUAAGAGAGUUGCUAUAGAUUACAUUCAAAAUGGAUUAAGUGACUUUACUGCACCUUGUGGCAAACAUUUAAGGGUGACUAAGUACCCGGAAUUGUUUCUGCUAUUAUUAAGUUUCGGCACAGUAGAUAAGAAAAUUUGAAUCACAAAUAUCACAUUUAUUUGCUGCCUCACAAUUUUACCAAAAGUCUGGUUUCCAGAAAUAAUUAUUGAUUGAUACUUCAAAAUUUGUUCUAGCCGAUGGAUAUUGAAAUAAUACCCUUAGCCGAUGAUAUUGGAACAAUACCAGGUUAUUUUCAACAAGAGAGAGCUAGACUUAGAAAGAAGCAUAGGCAAGCAGAUCUUUGUCAGCUAGGAAAUUUUUCAUGUCUUGUUCUUCCAGUGCAACGAGGGUGUUUAUACCAUCUCCACUCGGUGUAUCCAUCAUAACUGCUGUAUUAGACACACCUACAUCCACAACUGAAGCUUUUACUGGCUUUCCCCACCCGAAAUCCAUCUCAUCAUAUAAUGGGAAAUUACAAAUGCUGCUCACGAAAUAAGGCUUCUGAUCAGUAUUUGCAUAUUUGAGCAUCAGUGCCAGGUUUUUUCCGACCAAACUUUUUGAUCCUCUAAGUUGCAUCUUCCCUUUCUUCAUUUGGGCUAUCAAUGUACUUAAUCUUGUCUCAUUCAGCGUAUAUAUAUGUUGGAACGUCAUUCAGAGCAAUUAGAUUUCCCACACUUUUUUUUGGCAAUGGAGGAUCAAUGAGAGGGCGCAUGUUUACUGUUGGAAGUUUGUCAUUUUUAGCAUAAAUUUGAGUGAGGCUCGGCUACGUUUUCGUGGCGGGUUAUGCUUGGAUUAUGUUCUCCUCCGAGAGAGCUUUACAAUGCACGUUUAUUCACUCAAAACGACUAAGGAAUGGAUGAGUUAUGAUGAUCCAAAGUUGCUUCCUUGGUAGUGGAAAAUUGGAGAGUAAACCUUGAGUCCCACGCACAUUGAUUCAAUAAAGAGCCUUUAAAGGCUUUAUAUACCAAGACACUUUGGUAGUGUCUAAAUGUGUUACUACAGUUAAACCUCUUUAAAAUAAUACCCCUCGGACCGGGAAAAAAUAUUACUUUACCGAAUUUAUUAUUUUAUCGAUAUAAUAAUAUUUUAUUACUUUAUCGAUAAAGUAAUAUUUUAUUAUUUUAAUGAAUUUCUAUGUGUUUAUAAAUUAUAAUUCAUUAUUUUUAAAAACAAGAAUUAGUCAAAUGCAAUGCAUUUGAUAUAAAAUUACUUUUAUAAUAAUUAAUCAGAAAACUAAAUUCAUGCAUGCACCAGAUAGAGUAUACAUGUUACAACAUUAGCAAAACAUACCGGAGUUAUUUAUCCCUUACAUAAAAUCAAGGAUGAGGUUAAUUUUUGCCUUGGUGGAAAGAAGAAACAAGCUACUGUAGAUUCAUAUUUUAAAAAGGACUGAAUUUUGAAUUCAUAUACAUAUUAUAUAUAUAUAUAUAUAUAUAUAUAUAUAUAUAUAUAUAUAUACAUAUAAUUCAUGAAUUAUUACUUUACAUAUCACCUGGGCCUUUAAUGAAUUUUUGAUUUUUUAUUAUCUUAUGCUUUUAGCGAAAAUAUUACUUUACGACAUUGGCCCAAGUUGGGACCGACAAAAUUUAUUACUUAAGCGAGGUUAUUACUUUAUAGGAUAUUAUUUAAUCGAGGUUUAACUGUAGUGUGUUGCUCAACCACCUACCUGUGCGCAGGAGCGGUGCAAAUUGGGGGAUUUCGAGGCAAAUUUCGUGGCUUCGCAAGCCUCGGCCUUUUCCAGGACACGAAUGCAGCAAAAUCUGGGCCCGAAGAAUUACGUACUAGUUCAUUAUAGAUUAGGGUUCUACACACACGAAAAUACACAAAUGCUGCUAAUGGGAUAAAGCUUGUGAUUAGUUUUUGCAUAUUUGUCCACCAGUACCAUGUUUUCUUUUCCGACCAAACUUUUUGUUCCUCUAAGCUGCAUCUUCCAUUUCUUCAUGUGGGCUAUCAAUGUAUUUAAUCUUGUCUCAUUCAUCGUAGUGGUUGGAACGUGAUUUACAGCAAUUAGAUUUCCCACACUUGUUCUUGGCAAUGGAGGAUCAAUGAGAGGACGCAUGUUUACUGAAUGCAUCAGCACAGAUUUCCCACACAUGUUUUUGGCAAUGGAGGAUCCAUGAGAGGACGCAUGUUUACUGAAUGCAUCAGUACAGAUUUAGUAUAGGCCCUGGAGUUUGAUGCAGUUGCGGCUCUUACGGCACACCUGUAAAGGAGUGCAGUCACAAGCUCAUUCCGUGUAUAACUUUGAUUUACACCAUCUUGUCUGUCUUGCAUUUCCACCUCAGCCUUGAGUUUGCUAUCUUUGAGUGGGGAAACACUAUCUCCUUAGUGAUCCAAAACUUUUCAGGAUGCGAAUAUUCAAUGACGGUUAAAUCAUCAUUACAUGAUGGUGGUGAUGAUUGCUGCAGCUCGUGCAGAAAAGUGGGACUAAGAUGCACAAGUUUUCUUCAUUGUCAGGGUUGCGGCACAAGUUUGCCCAAUAACUCAGGAAUGACACCAAGGUGAGAGCAUCAGCAAUACAGUGGGAGAGGCUCGCAGCUAGAGCUAUUCCUCCGCAAGAGAAAUGGUUUAGCUGAACAGCCAUUAAAUUACGAGAAGACAACAAUUUUCCCCAUAUGGUACCAGGGGGUACCAGGGGGACAGAGAUGACCAUAACCAUCUUCUUCAUCCAUGGUUGGAGUUUUUUCCACAAUUUCUGAUAAUUUACAUGCUACCUGGGCCUCAAAGAAUUCAAUGCCUUGGUCAUUGUAUUCUACGCGUGAUCCUGAAGAACUUAGCUUUUCCCGCAAAUGGAUAGUACUUGGAAAGUGUAUUGGAUAGAGAGUUCUUGAGUAGAUUUGGUAUGGUGGCUUUAUGAGCUAGUGAUUGUGGAUUGGAAUAGAAGAAUAUCAUAGGCGUGUAAGGACCGGGCAACCCUAGAUCAUGUAAAGGAAGAAUGUAAGGCUUGAGGUUCAAGGGGUGGGAGAGGCGGGUUUAAUGUUAGUUUUUGAUUUUGAGACUACAUGCAAAUGCGUUCUAGUUAGUCCCCUCAUCAUUAUCAUGCUGCCUGUUGUGGAGAAUACAAGCUCUAUUGCAAGGAAUGGGGGUAGAAAUGCAUCUCCAUUGUUCCUAUAUUAUAUACCUGUUUAGCUGUCUAUGCUUGAAUAAAAUAAUGCAAUUUAGAUUAUUAGCCUGUAGCAUGCAUCUAUGGAAAAUUGUUGUACGGACAACUGAAUUGAUUGCUAUACUAUUUGAACCAAAUUAGUACUCACUCCAUCUCCUAAUACUUUUCAACUGAAUAUAAUUAAAUGCAACUUUCGUGUGACAAAUAUGCUUUCAUAUCAAAAAUAAAUACUAUUGAAAGAGUCUUGUGAUUAAAAGGGCAUUAAACAUUGAGUGUAAUAACGAACAUCUAAUGUAUUCUAAUAUAUUCUUUAGGGUUCAAAAGAACGAGAUGUAAGUGAAAAGGAAGUAAAGUUAUGUAACUUUCACUCCUGUUUGUGCUCCCGAAUUUUUUGAAAGAAGGAAAGCAAGUGAAAAUGGAUGCAAAUAUAGCAUACUUCACUCCAAAAGUUUCACUCCAAAUGGGGGAUGAAAGUGAAAGCACAUUUGCUUUCACUUUUAUUCUCUUCUAAAAAAACUCGGGAGCGGGGCGGGGUUAAAAAGAACGAGCAAACUUUACAUUCAAUAGUAAAUGUCAAGUUUACCGUUUGUUAUAUACCGUUUUUUGACUUCAUACCGGUAAUUAGGGUUAAAAGGAAUAUUUGUGAAACUUGGAGGGUUGAAUCAGCCGAGUUAAAACAUCGAGCCUACAUCGGUACAACUUCCCAAACUUUGAGGGUUAAAAGCGCAUUAAUUAAGCCUAGUUUUUGAUGUUGAGAUUCCAUGUAGCUGCCUUCUGGUUAGUCCCCUGAUCUUCAUAUAGCUUGUUGUGGAGAAUUUAACCUGGAAUUGGAAUACCAGCAAUGCUCUAAUUCUCUAGUUUUAAGAAAUGGCCUAAAGUCUCAAAAAAUCAAAUAUAUCUACAUUGGUGCUGACAGUUCAAAAAAUCAAAAGAUUCAUUUAUUUUUGAUUAAUGGGACACAAUUUUAAAUUUGCAGAGCUUAAUAUUUGCCAACCAGAAUAUCUUUAGUAAAACUGAUCAGACUAGUUAGAGAAACUUUUGCAUCAAAGGGAGAUUUUUAACUACAAAAACCAUUUCGAGUACCUUUAUAAUUGUCUCUAGUAUUUAUAAAAAUAAUAUGGAAAAUUUUGAAGCAACAUAGCGAGGGUGAUCACAUAAAUAUAUAUUUAUAGGUAUAUUUUUUUUUUAACUACAUAGCUUGGAUUUUAUAGUGGCUUAAAUGAUUUGCCGAUGAGAUGAAUGGGUCAAGUGAGAUAUUUUGACGUAAUGGGUGGCGAUAUAAAACCCUUUUCUAUUUUGACAUGCUAACUCAUUUUUUAAGUAAUGGUUUUUGAUGAUUAAUGGAGUUGCUCUUAGAUUAUAGAGUACAUUCAAAAUGGAUUAAGUGAUUUUACUGAACCUUGUAGCAAACAUUUAAGGGUGACUAUAAGUACCAGGAAUUGUUUCUGCUAUUAUUAAGUUUUGGCACAGUAGAUAAGAAAAUAUGAAUCACAAAUAUCACAUUUAUUUGCUGCCUCACUUUUACCAAAAGUCAGGUCUCCAGAAAUAAUUAUUGAUUGAUACUUCAAAUUUAUUCUAGCCGAGGAUAUUGAAAUAAUACCCUUAGCCCAUGAUAUUGGAACAAUACCAGGUUAUUUUGAACAAGAGAGCUAGACUUAGAAAGAAGCAUAGGCAAGCAGAUCUUUAUCAGCUAGGAAAUAUUUCAUGUCUUGUUCUUCCAGUCCAAUGAUGGUGUUUAUACCAUCUCCACUCGGUGUAUCCAUCAAAACUGCUGAAUUAUACAGACCUAUAUCCACAAGUGCAGCUUUUACCGGCCUUCCCCACCCGAAAUCCAUCUCAUCAUAUAACGGGAAAUUACAAAUGCUGCUCACGAAAAAAGGCUUGUGAUCAGUUUUUGCAUAUUCCAAAAUCUGUGCCAGCAGGUUUUUUCCGACCAAACUUUUUGUUCCUCUAAGCUGCAUCUUCCCUUUCUUCAUUUGGGCUAUCAAUGUAUUUAAUCUUGUCUCAUUCAGGGUAGUUGUUGGAACUUCAUUCAGAGCUUGUAGAUUUCCCACACUUGUUUUUGGCAAUGGAGGAUCAAGGAGAGGGCGCAUGUUUACUGCCUGCAUCAGUACAGAUUUAGUAUAGGCCCCGGAGUUUGAUGCAGUUGCGGCUCCUACAGCGCACCUGUAAAGGAGUGCAGUCACAAGCUCAUUCCGUGUAUAACUUUGAUUUACACCAUCUUGUCUGUCUUGCAUUUCCACCUCAGCCUUGAGUUUCGCUAUCUUUGAGUUGGGAAACAUUAUCUCGGUAGUGAUCCAAAACUUUUCAGGAUGCGAAUAUUCAAAGGCAGUUAAAUCAUCAUUACAUGAUGGUGGUGAUGAUUGCUGCAGCUCGUUUAAAAAAGUGGGACUAAGAUGCACAAGUUUUUCUUCAUUGUCAGGGUCGCGGCAAAGGCUUGCCCAGUAACUUAGGAAUGACAACAAAGUGAGAGCAUCAGCAAUACAGUGGGAGAGGCUCACAGCUACAGCUAUUCCUCCGCAAGAGAAAUGGUUUAGUUGAACAGCCAUUAAAUUACCAGAGGACAACAAAGGUCCCCAUAUGGUACCAGGGGGACAGAGAUGACCAUAACCAUCUUCUUCAUCCCUGGUAGGAGUUUUUUCCAGAAUUUCUGAUAAUUUACAUGCUACCUGGGCCUCAAAGAAUUCAAUGCCUUGGUCAUUGUAUUCUAUGCGUGAUCCUGAAGAACUUAGCUUUCCCGCAAAUGGAUAGUACUUGGAAAGUGUAUUGGAUAGAGAGUUCUUGAGUAGAUUUGGUAUGGUGGCUUUAUGAGCUAGUGAUUGUGGAUUGGAAUAGAAGAAUAUCAUAGGCGUGUAAGGACCGGGCAGCCCUAGAUCAUUUAAAGGAAGAAUGUAAGGCUUGAGGUUCAAGGGCGUGGGAGAGGCCGGUUUAAUGUUGGUUUUUGAUUUUGAGACUAGAUGCAAAUGCCUUCUAAUUAGUCCCCUCAUUAUCAUGCUGCCAGUUGUGGAGAAUAUAAGCUCUAUUGCAAGGAAUGAGG